ACCCUCUCAGGAUCACACCUGGAGAGUUUCCAUUACAUUACCAGUCUUGGCUACAGGAGGGAGAGUCAAGCAGAGGCGUACCUAUUCCAUUCCUAGCUUGGGCAGUGGAUAGUGAGUGGAAGGUAAUCUGCUGCUACA